UGGAUGGGUAGGGGAGCGUCGUGUGCCGGGUGAAGCAGCCGCGGAAGCGAGUUGUGGACGGUUCACGAGUGAGAAUGCAGGCAUGAGUAGCGAUACACACGUGAGAAACGUGUGCGCCGAUUGACUAAGGGUUCCUGGGUCAAGCUGAUCUGCCCAGGGUAAGUCGGGACCUAAGGCGAGGCCGACAGGCGUAGUCGAUGGACAACCGGUUGAUAUUCCGGUACCCGCUUUGAAACGCCCAGUACUGAAUCAGGCGAUGCUAAGUCCGUGAAGCCGGCCUGAUCUCUUCGGAGUUGAGGGUAGUGGUGGAGCCGAUGAACCAGACUUGUAGUAGGUAAGCGAUGGGGUGACGCAGGAAGGUAGUCCAGCCCGGGCGGUGGUUGUCCCGGGGUAAGGGUGUAGGCCGUGUGGUAGGUAAAUCCGUCACACGUUAAGGCUGAGACCUGAUGCCGAGCCGAUUGUGGUGAAGUGGAUGAUCCUAUGCUGUCGAGAAAAGCCUCUAGCGAGUUUCAUGGCGGCCCGUACCCUAAACCGACUCAGGUAGUCAGGUAGAGAAUACCGAGGCGUUCGGGUGAACUAUGGUUAAGGAACUCGGCAAAAUGCCCCCGUAACUUCGGGAGAAGGGGGGCCAUCACUGGUGAUUGGAUUUACUCCAUGAGCUGGGGGUGGCCGCAGAGACCAGCGAGAAGCGACUGUUUACUAAAAACACAGGUCCGUGCGAAGCCGUAAGGCGAUGUAUACGGACUGACGCCUGCCCGGUGCUGGAACGUUAAGGGGACCGGUUAGUGCACUUUCGGGUGUGCGAAGCUGAGAACUUAAGCGCCAGUAAACGGCGGUGGUAACUAUAACCAUCCUAAGGUAGCGAAAUUCCUUGUCGGGUAAGUUCCGACCUGCACGAAUGGCGUAACGACUUCUCGACUGUCUCAACCAUAGGCCCGGUGAAAUUGCACUACGAGUAAAGAUGCUCGUUUCGCGCAGCAGGACGGAAAGACCCCGGGACCUUUACUAUAGUUUGAUAUUGGUGUUCGGUUCGGCUUGUGUAGGAUAGGUGGGAGACUUUGAAGCGGCCACGCCAGUGGUUGUGGAGUCGCCGUUGAAAUACCACUCUGGUCGUGCUGGAUGUCUAACCUGGGUCCGUGAUCCGGAUCAGGGACAGUGUCUGAUGGGUAGUUUAACUGGGGCGGUUGCCUCCUAAAGAGUAACGGAGGCGCCCAAAGGUUCCCUCAGCCUGGUUGGCAAUCAGGUGUUGAGUGUAAGUGCACAAGGGAGCUUGACUGUGAGACCGACGGGUCGAGCAGGGACGAAAGUCGGGACUAGUGAUCCGGCAGUGGCUUGUGGAAGCGCUGUCGCUCAACGGAUAAAAGGUACCCCGGGGAUAACAGGCUGAUCUUCCCCAAGAGUCCAUAUCGACGGGAUGGUUUGGCACCUCGAUGUCGGCUCGUCGCAUCCUGGGGCUGGAGUCGGUCCCAAGGGUUGGGCUGUUCGCCCAUUAAAGCGGUACGCGAGCUGGGUUUAGAACGUCGUGAGACAGUUCGGUCCCUAUCCGCUGUGCGCGUAGGAAUAUUGAGAAGGGCUGUCCCUAGUACGAGAGGACCGGGACGGACGAACCUCUGGUGUGCCAGUUGUUCUGCCAAGGGCAUGGCUGGUUGGCUACGUUCGGAAAGGAUAACCGCUGAAAGCAUCUAAGCGGGAAGCCUGCUUCGAGAUGAGUGUUCCCACCACCUUGAGUGGUUAAGGCUCCCAGUAGACGACUGGGUUGAUAGGCCAGAUGUGGAAGCCCGGUAACGGGUGGAGCUGACUGGUACUAAUAGGCCGAGGGCUUGUCCUCAGUUG
rnacentral:rRNA from 1 species